UACGAAGGGGGCUAGCGUUGCUCGGAAUCACUGGGCGUAAAGGGUGCGUAGGUGGCGCUGUAAGUCGGGUGUGAAAUCCUGAGGCUUAACCUCGGAACUGCAUUCGAUACUGCGGUGCUUGAGGACUGGAGAGGAGACUGGAAUUCAUGGUGUAGCAGUGAAAUGCGUAGAGAUCAUGAGGAAGACCAGUGGCGAAGGCGGGUCUCUGGACAGUUCCUGACACUGAGGCACGAAGGCCAGGGGAGCAAACGGG
rnacentral:rRNA from 1 species